rnacentral:tmRNA from 1 species
GGGGGCGUAUGGAUUCGACGGGGGUAUAAGGAUUCUGAAGGCGCAUGCCGAGGUUCCGUACCUCGUAAAAAACGGCAACAAAUAAUUGCCAACACAAACUACGCGUUAGCUGCCUAAUUGACGGCAGCUCGUCCGGGAAGAAGCUUGCCCCGUGCUUCUUCUCAGGACGUCAUAGAACGGGGCUACGCUUCUCCCUCGUGCCCGCCGGGGGAGAGGUUAAAGCGCAUGCGGGUACCCCUUCCGAGGCCUUGCCUGUCGGGCCGGAAGGGUUGAUGAAGACAGGCUAAGCAUGUAGGGCCUUCAGGGUCUGUACCUCCGGACGCGGGUUCGAUUCCCGCCGCCUCCAUUU